rnacentral:rRNA from 1 species
CAGCAGCCGCGGGAAUACGAAGGGUGCAAGCGUUAAUCGGAAUUACUGGGCGUAAAGCGUGCGUAGGCGGUGAGUUAAGUCUGCUGUGAAAUCCCCGGGCUCAACCUGGGAAUGGCAGUGGAUACUGGCUCGCUAGAGUGUGUCAGAGGAUGGUGGAAUUCCCGGUGUAGCGGUGAAAUGCGUAGAGAUCGGGAGGAACAUCAGUGGCGAAGGCGGCCAUCUGGGACAACACUGACGCUGAGGCACGAGAGCGUGGGGAGCAAACAGGAUUAGAUACCCCAGUAGUCCCUGUCUCUUAUAA